UACGUAGGGUGCGAGCGUUAAUCGGAAUUACUGGGCGUAAAGCGUGCGCAGGCGGUUCGUUGUGUCCGAUGUGAAAGCCCCGAGCUUAACUUGGGAAUGGCAUUGGAAACUGGCGAGCUGGAGUGUGGCAGAGGGGGGUGGAAUUCCAGGUGUAGCGGUGAAAUGCGUAGAGAUCUGGAGGAACACCGAUGGCGAAGGCAGCCUUCUGGGCCAACACUGACGCUCAUGCACGAAAGCGUGGGGAGCAAACAGG
rnacentral:rRNA from 1 species